GACGAACGCUGGCGGUGUGCUUAACACAUGCAAGUCGAACGGUAAGGCCCUUUCGGGGGUACACGAGUGGCGCACGGGUGAGUAACACGUGAGUAACCUGCCCUCAUCUCUGGGAUAACAGUCGGAAACGGUUGCUAAUACUGGAUAUGAGCCUGCAAGGCAUCUUGUGGGUUGGAAAGAUUUUUUGGUUGGGGAUGGACUCGCGGCCUAUCAGCUUGUUGGUGAGGUAGUGGCUCACCAAGGCUUCAACGGGUAGCCGGCCUGAGAGGGCGACCGGCCACAUUGGGACUGAGAUACGGCCCAAACUCCUACGGGAGGCAGCAGUGGGGAAUAUUGCACAAUGGACGGAGGUCUGAUGCAGCAACGCCGCGUGCGGGAUGACGGCCUUCGGGUUGUAAACCGCUUUCAAUUGUGACGAAGCUUUUUGUGACGGUAGCAGUAGAAGAAGCACCGGCUAACUACGUG
rnacentral:rRNA from 1 species